rnacentral:rRNA from 1 species
GCUUGUCUCAAAGAUUAAGCCAUGCAUGUCUAAGUGUAAAUACGUCUACACUGUGAAACUGCGAAUGGCUCAUUAAAUCAGUUAUCGUUUAUUUGAUGAUCUCUUGUUACAUGGAUAACCGUAGUAAUUCUAGAGCUAAUACAUGCACAAAAUCCCGACUUACGAAGGGAUGUAUUUAUUAGAUACAAACCAACAUCGUGGUGAUUCAUAAUAACUUUGCGAAUCGUAUGCCUCACGGCGACGAUGAAUCAUUCAAAUUUCUGCCCUAUCAGCUUUGGAUGGUAGGGUAUUGGCCUACCAUGGCUCUAACGGGUAACGGAGAAUUGGGGUUCGAUUCCGGAGAGGGAGCCUGAGAGAUGGCUACCACAUCCAAGGAAGGCAGCAGG